rnacentral:rRNA from 1 species
CUACGGUGGGCUGCAGUGGGGAAUAUUGGACAAUGGGCGAAAGCCUGAUCCAGCCAUGCCGCGUGUGUGAAGAAGGCCUUCGGGUUGUAAAGCACUUUCAGUGGGGAAGAAAGCCUUGGGGCUAAUACCCUCGAGGAAGGACAUCACCCACAGAAGAAGCACCGGCUAACUCCGUGCCAGCAGCCGCGGUAAUACGGAGGGUGCGAGCGUUAAUCGGAAUUACUGGUCGUAAAGCGCGCGUAGGCGGUCUGAUAAGCCGGUUGUGAAAGCCCCGGGCUCAACCUGGGAACGGCAUCCGGAACUGUCAGGCUAGAGUGCAGGAGAGGAAGGUAGAAUUCCCGGUGUAGCGGUGAAAUGCGUAGAGAUCGGGAGGAAUACCAGUGGCGAAGGCGGCCUUCUGGACUGACACUGACGCUGAGGUGCGAAAGCGUGGGUAGCAAACAGGAUUAGAUACCCGGGUAGUC